rnacentral:rRNA from 1 species
UCUCCUGGAAACGGGUGGUAAUGCCGGAUGUUCCACAUGAUCGCAUGUGAUUGUGGGAAAGAUUCUAUCGGCGUGGGAUGGGGUCGCGUCCUAUCAGCUUGUUGGUGAGGUAACGGCUCACCAAGGCUUCGACGGGUAGCCGGCCUGAGAGGGCGACCGGCCACAUUGGGACUGAGAUACGGCCCAGACUCCUACGGGAGGCAGCAGUGGGGAAUAUUGCACAAUGGGCGCAAGCCUGAUGCAGCGACGCCGCGUGAGGGAUGGAGGCCUUCGGGUUGUAAACCUCUUUUGUUUGGGAGCAAGCCUUCGGGUGAGUGUACCUUUCGAAUAAGCGCCGGCUAACUACGUGCCAGCAGCCGCGGUAAUACGUAGGGCGCAAGCGUUAUCCGGAUUUAUUGGGCGUAAAGGGCUCGUAGGCGGCUCGUCGCGUCCGGUGUGAAAGUCCAUCGCUUAACGGUGGAUCUGCGCCGGGUACGGGCGGGCUGGAGUGCGGUAGGGGAGACUGGAAUUCCCGGUGUAACGGUGGAAUGUGUAGAUAUCGGAAAAGAACACCA